GCCCCCAUAGACUAGUGGAUAGGUCACCACUCUUUCAAGGUGGGCGGGCCGGUUCGAAUCCGGCUGGGGGCG
rnacentral:tRNA from 3 species